UUGUGUUUCAUGAUUGUGUUACUAUCUGGUGUGAAAAUGAUUAAGAUGCUAACCUAAUUCUUCCUAUCCUGAGAAGAAGCUUGCCAGAUAGUAACACAAUCAUGAAACACAANUUUGAGUGUUAAAAGCUGUGUUCGAUCCUAUUUUAUUAAUAUUUUUAUUUUUAAUGCUGAUUACCAUCCCCCAGUCAUUUUUGUGUCUAUAGAAGUUAUGGUCUGUGGAUCCAUCCGUUGGCUCAUUCAAGCUGUAGUGACUGCUCAUUUUAUUUGUACAUAAAACUGCACUCUGAUGCUUGUUAAAAGAGAGAAUUGUUAAAAAAAAA
rnacentral:misc_RNA from 1 species